rnacentral:rRNA from 1 species
AUGAAAACAGGGCUGAAGGCCAGAGAGGAGGUGUACGCCACCCUGCUGGAGCAGCUACUCGCCUCCUUCGCCGAACCACAGGAGGACACCCAGCUGACAGAGUGGGGGUGGCCCCCCAAACCCCAAUACUCUUUCACCGAGAAGAGGAGCGGUCCAAGAGAAGGCCCCAAGCAACCCUUCUUCCUCAUCAACAUGAAGGCGUCCGCCGAGACGGCACGGAUAUCGUGGUCGAUGAAGAAGUACCCCUGCUACCCCCGGGACCGAGCGUGGCACAAUCCUCUGCGCGUCGCGCGCCUGGGCACGGGAGCCGAGGGGUUUCGCGUAGAGCAGGCGGGGCAGGGCGGGCAGCCGGGCGCCAUCUCCGCCUUCAUCGACGUCACGUACAGCGGGUGGCCGCGCCCCAAGGAGGGCAUCUUUGUGGAAGGCUCCUCCGUGCCUCUCAGGGAGGUCGCCGUCAUCAAGAGGUUGCCCGGCGGUGAUGGGAUUUCCGUCAUGUCCUAUGUUGAUGGACUUGGUGUUAAGCUUGAUGACAUCCUCUUUGUGUUGCACGUCCCGUCUGCCGCUGUACCCCUGAGAUUUACCGAGCAGUCAUUUUAUGUCUCUGAAAACUUUGAGGAGAUUCCAAUGUACGCCCCAACUGGUCUUGAUUUCAUAGACAUCAAUGUUCCUGUCAAGAAUCUGAUCAAGAAACUUUACCAGCUGUAUUUACAAGAGGAGCAAGAGAAAAAUAGUAAGCGUGAGAAACAAGAUCGUCGGGGGAGUGAAGAGCUGGUGUGCCAGCAAGAGGAGGAGCUCAUGCUCCAAAGACAUGAGACUGAUGAGGAGAAGCUAGAGCGCCUCCGGACGAGAAGGGAGGAGAGCAAGAAACAUAGAGAUCUGCGCAGGGAACUGAAGGAAGCGGUUCAUCACAUGAAGGGUACAACAAGGACUUCAGAAGAAGAAGAGCAGCAUGAGGAGGAGUAUGACCCAAUGCUACUGCCGUUCCUGUUUCAGGAAGAAUGUGGUCUGGUGAAACCAUUGGAAGAGCUGUGCCAAAGUGAGAAGAGGUGUGACGGAUCGGUCGUGGAAGUUAUGGACCAGGAAGUUAGCUCUUAA